CAGUCGCCGCGGUAAUACGAAGGGUGCAAGCGUUACUCGGAAUUACUGGGCGUAAAGCGUGUGUAGGUGGUUGUUUAAGUCUGUCGUGAAAGCCCUGGGCUCAACCUGGGAAUUGCGAUGGAUACUGGGCGACUAGAGUGCGGUAGAGGAUAGUGGAAUUUCCGGUGUAGCAGUGAAAUGCGUAGAGAUGUGGAGGAAUACCGAUGGCGAAGGCAGCCCCCUGGGCCAAUACUGACGCUCAUGCACGAAAGCGUGGGGAGCAAACAGGAUUAGAUACCCCCGUAGUCCCUGUCUCUUAUAC
rnacentral:rRNA from 1 species